GACGGAGGGCGCUAGCGUUGUUCGGAAUGACUGGGCGUAAAGGGCGUGUAGGCUGUUGAUCAAGUCAAGCGUGAAAGCCUCGGGCUUAACCCGAGAACUGCGUUUGAUACUGGUUGACUUGAGGACGAGAGAGGAAAGUGGAAUUCCGAGUGUAGAGGUGAAAUUCGUAGAGAUUCGGUGGAACAUCAGAGGCGAAGGCGGCUUUCUGGCUCGUAUCUGACGAUGAGGCGCGAAAGAGUGGGGAGCAAACAGG
rnacentral:rRNA from 1 species